GCUCAACGCCAGUGUUCCCGCCGGCGAAGGACCAUACUCGACGAAGCAAGUGCGCCUGAAGCUCGAAAACAUGAACAAACGUUAUCGGAAGCUCAGGCGCACCGCAACCACAACCAGCUCGAAAGCCAUCACGUGGCCGUUCUACCGGCGUCUGCAUGAUUUCCUCGGAGCACUACCGAUCAACGACGACUUGCUCAUGGAGGAAAACAUUGAGGCGCAGCAAGUGAAUGAACUGCCCAAUUGUGGAGAAGUAAUUGCAUCGUGGGACAAUGGUGAUAUUUCCGCUUAGGAGAGCAGUGUUCGUCAAGAAAGCAUCGCUCCAGAGCCUCCCACUGACAGCCCAACUCCAGAGCCUCCCACAGACAGCCC
rnacentral:lncRNA from 1 species